AAUGUUUAAAUGAAAUGAGGUUGUAAAG
rnacentral:piRNA from 1 species